GUGUCGGUGUUGGUGUAGUUUUGACUCUUCUUGUCCGUCGUGGUGUUGUUUACUGUAAGAGUAAAAAGAACACUCCCACUGCAGAACCAUCUGAAGAAAUGAAACUUUCCCAAAGCAACAAUUAGACGUUCACACCUGCUUCAUGCAGCCUCUGACCAGGUGACACAGGAAACAGGAAGUGAACUUCUCCAAAGCUCCUUUUCAUUGGUUCAACAAGUUUUUACCUUCGACUCGAACACGAAUGAAAAGCUUCAGAGUGACGACCACACAACGCUGUUUAUUUAAAGAUAAUGAUGUCAUCAUGACAUCACUUCCACCACGUGACGACACAUGAUUGGUUCUUGUAAAUAAGCUGAAGGUCUCGCCUCAAAUCUUAUUGGCUGAUAAAACUUGUGAUGUUUACUCUUUUUAACGUAUCAGGAUUUAACUGAACAUCUCACGGUUCACACGUUAAAAACCAAAGGUCAUUAAAACGUUGUGGUCCUGUCCAGCUGCAGCUCUGUUGCUAGGCGACAGCGGUAAGGGGGCGGGACAAGCUGGAGACACAAAUCACAGAAAUCCUCCGUGGACCAGACGUCUGGUUUCAGUUGGUCCUUCACAAAGGAGACGGACCUGGAACCAGGACACAGCUUCUAUGACGUCAUGUUCUGACUUCACAGUGACCUCAUGAUGACAUCAUUCCUGCCACAUGAUCAUUAAUGACUUUUCAAUAUAUGUAUAAAAGCUUCAGGUCGUAUCUAUCGUCCUAUAGGAUGCAGAGACUGUUGAAUGAUGCAUGAAGUCAUUUUCUGACCUUUUCUUCAGAAACUGAAAUGAAGCUGUGACAUCACAUCCUGGACCCGUAGUUUGAAGGAGACACAGGAUGUUCCUCUCUGUUUCAUCCAUCUCUCUGCUUGUGGUUCUUCUCUCAGAUGAACUUUGACUCAACCUCUCGUCACUGAACUCAGACCUGCUGCUCUGCUCUCAAUCAAUGUGAAUGUUCUGCAGCUAAAGUGAAAAUGUGAUGAGUCAGUGUUUAUUGGUGAAUGUGCUGAGUCGGGUCCAGUUCCAGUCACAACUGCUUCCUGUUGUCACUGUGAUGUUUGAGCCGUCGCUGUCUGACACUGACUUUGUCUUCAUGUUGUUACCUGAUGAUUCUGAGGAUUUCAGGCUGGUUCGUUAUUUCUGUUCAACACUUUGAAUAAAACGUGACAAACAUCAAA